rnacentral:rRNA from 1 species
UACGUAGGCAGCAAGCGUUGUUCGGAAUUACUGGGCGUAAAGAGUGUGUAGGCGGUGCUCUAAGUUCGGUGUGAAAUCUCCCGGCUCAACUGGGAGGGUGCGCCGAAAACUGGGGUGCUGGAGCGCGGGAGAGGAAAGCGGAAUUCCUGGUGUAGCGGUGAAAUGCGUAGAUAUCUGGAGGAACACCGGUGGCGAAGGCGGCAUCCUGGACCGACACUGACACUGAGG